GCGCGCAAUUACCCAAUCCUGACACAGGGAGGUAGUGACAAGAAAUAACAAUACAGGGCUAAUGUCUUGUAAUUGGAAUGAUGGUGACCCAAACCCUCACCAAAGUAGCAAUUGGAGGGCAAGUCUGGUGCCGCCAACCGCGUGAAUUCCUCCUCCACGCUAAAAUAUUAAACUUGUUGCAGUUAAAAAGCUCGGAUUUGAAUUUUAGCGUGGAGCAGUUUGCCCUUCGUUUGGCUUUUUCAAGUUCGCUUUUGGGUUUUCCCUUUUUACUUUGAGAAAAUUAGAGUGUUUCAAGCAGACUUUUGUCUUGAAUACUUCGUCAUGUAAUAAUACAGCAGGACUUUGGUUCUAUUUUGUUGGUUAUUGAACCGUAGUAAUGGUUAAUAGGAACGGUUGGGGGCUUCGUAUUUCAA
rnacentral:rRNA from 1 species